rnacentral:rRNA from 1 species
GACAGAGGGUGCAAACGUUGUUCGGAAUUACUGGGCGUAAAGCGCGUGUAGGCGGCAGGGCAUGUCGGAUGUGAAAUCCCGUGGCUCAACCACGGAAGUGCACCCGAAACUGCCCAGCUUGAGUCUCGGAGAGGAAGGCGGAAUGCUUGGUGUAGAGGUGAGAUUCGUAGAUAUCAAGCGGAACACCGGUGGCGAAGGCGGCCUUCUGGACGAUGACUGACGCUGAGACGCGAAAGCGUGGGGAGCAAACAGG